rnacentral:misc_RNA from 1 species
GAUGCUGAGGAGCCCCAUUAUUAGCCAAAAACAAGCUAAUCAACAGAAUAAAUGAGGGUUUCUUUUGAUUCCCAAUAAUCUGUCCUCAAAAAAUGAUUCAGCACAACCAAUUAAACCUACCAGCAAAAGCAUUACUGUUUCAAUAAAAAAAUGGCAUUAUUACUGACAUAUUCACAUGCAUGUCAGAAUAUGCCAGUAAAAUUUACAAAUUUAACAAUGACCUGUGUAGAAAUAAAUUGAACUCUUUUGAUUAUCAUGCAUGUCAGAAUGUAGUGUCACUUAAUUGUAUACUAGCGCAAGUCUCUGACUCUCCUUCCACAUGAAAGUUUCGAUUCUCUAUAUUGAUAAAAAUGGUAUGCAAGACUCCUAAAAUCAAGCACUACUAGAAAGGUUAUAUGCAACAUGAAGGUACAGUCUGAGGGCUUUGUGUGGUAAUAGUAUCUUCAAGGUGUUUGAGUAAUUGGAAAAUCACAGAACGGAAAAACUUUUGAAAGAGAAGUGGUCAACCAUAUGUUUGCAGAAAGGUGAACUAAAAAAAUGCAUUCUUCAUGGCAUUAACUCUCUAUGUUUAGGUGAGGUUCUAUGACAUAUUCUCUCACAAGAAGAAACAACAAAACUUUUUUGUAUUUAUAGAGAGCAAAUCCAGAAUCUUCUGCUACAGUGUUUCAGAAACACAAUAAACUAAUCUGAAAGAGACUUAGUUUUUCUGUCAUAUAAAGAGUGAAAAUAAUGGACCUUGAUAUUUACCUGGUCAAAACAAUUUUGUAUUACGCAUUAAUCCAACUAACAAAACUGAACACUAGAAAUUGCAAAAUGAAUGUCUAUGCCAGGAGUGCAUAGAUUGGGCGAUAAUUAUCACAAUAAGUACAAAAAAUAGCCAAUGGCCUAAGACAUGUUACUGGAAAUCUUAAAAUUUGGAUUUUAUUCUAUCACAUUUCAUCGUAUCAAUUCAUUUAUGGGCCAAUUUCUAGGACUUAAAAGCUUUAUAAAUUGUAUAACCGAAAAUCCAAACAAAUAAAGAGUGAGAAAUAGUUAUCAGUAGAAGUGAUGACAGUGCUUAAUGAAUCAAAGGGAAGAGGAAACGAUCAAUUUGAAAAAGAAGAGCGCCAGAGGAGGGUGCCGAUGAGUGAAGCGUAGCCAAAACUUCGAAGCCUAACGAAGUCUGAGAGCGAAGGGUUCCAAAGCGCACUACGAAAUUCUCUCUUUGCCUGAUUCACUUGUCCUCUAUUGCUUUCGAUUUUAGAUCUGUUAGUGAGGUAUCAGAAGCAAGUAUGGUGAAGGCCAGCGACUGGAGUGUUGGGUUCGAGAACAAGGAAUGAGGAUCGAGUAUUCGAGGGAAAAUAUAUAUUGCUUCUCGUUAAAAAAAAUAAUAAUAACUUUUUAAAAAUAAAUCCAAGCGACUCUUUGAAGACUAUAAAAGCAAUAACCAAGAAGAGGAAGAUUUGCAGCGAGUUCCUCAGUUACUUGGAAUUCCAUUGGAUUAAUUUUAACAAUUGUCCCUCGACUUACAUAGUUGCAAUAAUACAGUUUUCCUUAAAUAUAACAUAAAACCCCCUAAAUUUUCAAAUUUUAUACAGUAAAUCCUCUGACUUUUAAUUAUAAUUUUUCUGUUAGAAACUGAUGUAAAUAGCUCCAGCAUGACACUUAAUCAAUAUUUCUCUCUUCUUUCUUAUACAAAGUGUAAAAUUAUUUUCUUUACACAUGAAAAAUUAUUCUAUCUAUAG